GAGGCCGAUUGCGGGGCGCGCUGCCUCUGCCCCGGGACUGCUCAGUUCCGCCACCGCCCAGGUGACCUGGGACUGGCUCCGCCCCUGCAUGGCGCCCUUCCCAGGAAUGGUAUAAAUGAGCUCGCUUCUGGGGAACGUGGCCGUUCCGGACUGAGCUGCGGAGCUGACUCUCUUAAGGAACCAUGUGGCUCUCCUCCAUCUUGGCAAAU
rnacentral:lncRNA from 1 species